CUUAAGCAUAUUACUAAGCGGAGGAAAAGAAACCAACGGGGAUUCCCAUAGUAACUGCGAGUGAAAGGGGAAAAGCCCAGCGCCGAAUCCCGCUGCUGGUGACGGUGGCGGGAACUGUGGCGUGAAGAUGGUGUCUAUCGGUGUGGCUCGCUCGCGUAAGUUCUCCUGAGUGAGGCUCCAUCCCAUGGAGGGUGCAAGGCCCGUGUCGUGAGCAGCCGUCGCCGAUGUGUGCUAUCAGAGAGUCGCCUUGUUUGCGAGUACAAGGUGAAGUCGGUGGUAAACUCCAUCGAAGGCUAAAUAUGACCACGAGUCCGAUAGCGAACAAGUACCGUGAGGGAAAAUUGAAAAGCACUUUGAAGAGAGAGCGAAACAGUGCGUGAAACCGCUCAGAGGCAAGCAGAUGGGGCCUCGAAGGCAAAGCCGCGAAUUCAGCCGGUGGUCCGGGCGGCGGGUGUGGUGUGAGAUCGUAAGACUCUACCGCGCCCGUGUCAGUUUGGCUGCUGGUGCACUUUCGCGGUUUGUACGCCACCGCCGUUAGGGCGCGUCCGUCGGCCUCGCGUGUGGAGCCUAGCUGUCCUCACGGGCAGUUGGUGCUCACGGUGGGUGCCGCGCGUGUUCGCGCUUUAACCGGUCAUAACCGUUUGCGCUGGGUUCUUGUGCUCCGGUYGGGCGUGCUGGCAUGACGAGCUUGCUCGGCUGUCUCGCGCUUGAUGGAAUCGCGGGGAUUUCAGCGUAGAUGAUUUGGUGGCGAGUAGACGGCUGCCCAUCUAACCCGUCUUGAAACACGGACCAAGGGAU
rnacentral:rRNA from 1 species